rnacentral:sRNA from 1 species
AUUCCAGCUUCUACUUUUGUUGCUAUGCAGGUUGUUGUCGGGAUACCAGAUUUCCUACUCCGAGAGGCCCCGGGUCCCUCUGCCACAACUUCUGUCGCUCUGCCGCCUGCACCGUGACCCGCAGUAUUCACGGGAGCCCUAGAGAGGACACCGGGACACCCAGAAGCCGGGAAAUGGCUGGAGUGAAGUGGCGCUCUCUCAGCUCACUGCAACCGCCGCUUCCCAAGUUCAAGCGAUUCUCCUGCCUCAGCCUCCCGAGUAGCUGGGAUUACAGGCAUGUGCCAACAUGCCCAGCUAAUUGUGUAUUUUUUUUUUUAAUAGAGACAGGGUUUCUCCAUGUUGGUCAGGCUGGUUUCGAACUCCCGACCUCAGGUGAUCCGCCCACCUUGGCCUCCCAAAGUGCUGGGAUUACAGGCAUGAGCCACUGUGCCUGGCCUAUUUAUUUU